AGAUAUUGAGGGAACGAUCAUCAAAUAUUUUACUAGAGUCACAUUGCCGAGUCAUCAAAAUAAGCACACGCAAAAAGAACAGACUGGAAAAGAAAGGAACGUAAUUGGCAUGAUAGAGACCUUUCAAAGAAUAUGGAUGUGCAAUAUAUAAGGAGCUGCAGAUAAAAGCAAGUUUCGUUGCCAUAAUUACAGAUCAUUAGGCCAUUUCAGAUCUGAAUGCUCUAAACCAAGGAAGAAGCUGAAUCAUGAUGAUCAAAAGGAAUCUGGUAGGUCUUGUCAUUAUGGUUUUGUUUUUACUGAAUCAUUGGUAGCUGCUAUGAAGAUAAAAAUUUAGUUGUUAGAUUCUGAAGCUACCUCCAAUUUUGCUAUCAUGAAAGAAGGUUUUGAGUGUGUCUAAAACAAGUUUGUAAUGGCUAGCAUUUGUUUAUAUGGGAACUGAUGCAAAAGCUGAAAUUUUGGAAUUGGAACUUUCGAACUUCAAUUACAUUAAGGUGGCACUCUUUCUUUGAAGGAAACUUUGUAUGCUCCCAGCAUGUGAAGGAAUUUAACUUGUGUUCCGAAGCUAGCAUGCACGAUUUUGUAGCAACCCUGAACAAGGGAAAGGCAGUUGUUAGGAAGAAUGGUGAUUUUGUUUCUGUGCUUGUUUAGUUGAUUAAUUGCAUCUUUUUUCUUUUAAUUCUAAUAAUGCCUCAAGUUCUUCUGAUGAUAUUUCUUAUUCAUAUUCUAUGAGUGCAAAUAGGAAGAUCUUGCAUUGAGUGUUGGGAACUUCUGAUGAACCUAUGCUUGAGUCAUAUAAGAUAAAAAUUGAUUCUCAUGAAAAAAUGGAGCUGCUGAGGGAAGGAACAGAACGCUAUUAGACAAGGUCAGAUCCAUGACGGCCUAAGCAUCAGCUCCUCUUAAGUUUUGGGGAGAAGAACUUCAGACAACUGCUUACAUUUAAAUCAUGCGACUUCUAAAUCU
rnacentral:lncRNA from 1 species